rnacentral:rRNA from 1 species
UACAGAGGGGGCAAGCGUUAUUCGGAAUUAUUGGGCGUAAAGGGCGCGUAGGCGGCUUCGCAAGUGGAUGGUGAAAUCCCUCGGCUUAACUGAGGAACUGCCGUCCAAACUGCGUUGCUUGAGGCCGGGAGAGGCGAGUGGAAUUCCCAGUGUAGCGGUGAAAUGCGUAGAUAUUGGGAGGAACACCAGUGGCGAAGGCGGCUCGCUGGACCGGUUCUGACGCUGAUGCGCGAAAGCGUGGGGAGCAAACGGG